UACGUAGGGUGCGAGCGUUGUCCGGAAUUAUUGGGCGUAAAGGGCUCGUAGGCGGUCCAUCGCGUCGGGAGUGAAAAGCUGGGGCUUAACCCCAGUCCUGCUUUCGAUACGGGUGGACUAGAGGUAGGCAGGGGAGAAUGGAAUUCCUGGUGUAGCGGUGAAAUGCGCAGAUAUCGGGAGGAAUACCUAUGGCGAAAGCAGGCUACUGGACCGUCACUGACUCUGAUCUGCGAAAGCUAGGGGAGCAAAGCAGG
rnacentral:rRNA from 1 species